UGGGGAAUAUUGGACAAUGGGCGAAAGCCUGAUCCAGCAAUGCCGCGUGAGUGAUGAAGGCCUUAGGGUUGUAAAGCUCUUUUACCAGGGAUGAUAAUGACAGUACCUGGAGAAUAAGCUCCGGCUAACUCCGUGCCAGCAGCCGCGGUAAUACGGAGGGAGCUAGCGUUGUUCGGAAUUACUGGGCGUAAAGCGUACGUAGGCGGUGACUCAAGUCAGAGGUGAAAGCCUGGAGCUCAACUCCAGAACUGCCUUUGAAACUAGGUCGCUAGAAUCACGGAGAGGUGAGUGGAAUUCCGAGUGUAGAGGUGAAAUUCGUAGAUAUUCGGAAGAACACCAGUGGCGAAGGCGGCUCACUGGACAUGUAUUGACGCUGAGGUACGAAAGCGUGGGGAGCAAACAGGAUUAGAUACCCAUGUAGUCCCUGAGCGGGCUGGCAAGGCGCAU
rnacentral:rRNA from 1 species